rnacentral:rRNA from 1 species
GACGAACGCUGGCGGCGUGCCUAAUACAUGCAAGUCGAGCGAGUAUGCCUUGAAGAUCGGAGUGCUUGCACUCUGUGAAACGAGAUACAGGCUCGCGGCGGACGGGUGUGUAACACGUGGGUAACCUGCCCAAACGGUCGGGAUAACACCUGGAAACAGAUGCUAAUACCGGAUAACAACAGAUGAUGCCUUUCCACUGUUUAAAAGAUGGUUCUGCUAUCACUCUUGGAUGGACCUGCGGUGCAUUAGCUAGUUGGUAGGGUAACGGCCUACCAAGGCGAUGAUGCGUAGCCGAGCUGAGAGACUGAUCGGCCACAUUGGAACUGAGACACGGUCCAAACUCCUACGGGAGGCAGCAGUAGGGAAUCUUCCACAAUGGGCGAAAGUCUGACGGAGCAACGCCGCGUGAGUGAUGAAGGGUUUCGGCUCGUAAAGCUCUGUUGUUGGUGAAGAACGACUGUGGUAGUAACUAAGCUCUGUUUGACGGUAAUCAAUUAGAAAGUCACGGCUAACUACGUG